rnacentral:rRNA from 1 species
AUUGAACGCUGGCGGCAGGCCUAACACAUGCAAGUCGAGCGGCAGCGGAAGGAAGCUUGCUUUCUUGCCGGCGAGCGGCGGACGGGUGAGUAAGGUAUGGGGAUCUGGCCGAAGGCGGGGGAUAACCACUGGAAACGGUGGCUAAUACCGCAUAAUCUCUAAGGAGCAAAGUGGGGGACCGUUCAGGCCUCACACCUUCGGAUGAACCCAUAUGAGAUUAGCUAGUAGGUGGGGUAAUGGCUCACCUAGGCGACGAUCUCUAGCUGGUCUGAGAGGAUGAGCAGCCACACUGGGACUGAGACACGGCCCAGACUCCUACGGGAGGCAGCAGUGGGGAAUAUUGCACAAUGGGCGCAAGCCUGAUGCAGCCAUGCCGCGUGUAUGAAGAAGGCCUUCGGGUUGUAAAGUACUUUCAGUCGUGAGGAAGGUGUUAAGGUUAAUAACCUUAGCAAUUGACGUUAGCGACAGAGGAAGCACCGGCUAACUCCGUGCCAGCCGCCGCCGUAA